ACCCGCUGAACUUAAGCAUAUCAAUAAGCGGAGGAAAAGAAACCAACAGGGAUUGCCUUAGUAACUGCGAGUGAAGCGGCAAAAGCUCAAAUUUGAAAUCUGGUGCCUUCGGCGCCCGAGUUGUAAUUUGGAGAGACAUCUUCGGAGUAGACGCCGUCCUAAGUUCCUUGGAACAGGACGUCACAGAGGGUGAGAAUCCCGUGCCUGGAUGGCUGUUCUACUUCAUGUGAAGUGUCUUCGACGAGUCGAGUUGUUUGGGAAUGCAGCUCAAAAUGGGAGGUAAAUUUCUUCUAAAGCUAAAUAUUGGCGAGAGACCGAUAGCGCACAAGUAGAGUGAUCGAAAGAUGAAAAGCACUUUGAAAAGAGAGUUAAAAAGUACGUGAAAUUGUUGAAAGGGAAGCGCUUGAGACCAGACUCGACCAGUGGUGAUCAGCGGUGCUUCUGUGCCGUGCACUUGCCAUUGGUUGGGCCAGCAUCGGUUUGGACGGCGGGAUAAAGACCUAAGGAAUGUGGCUCCCUCCGGGGAGUGUUAUAGCCUUGAGUGCAAUGCCGCCAGUCUGGACCGAGGACCGCGCUUCGGCUAGGAUGCUGGCGUAAUGGCUGU
rnacentral:rRNA from 1 species